GAUGAAGAACGCAGCGAAAUGCGAUAAGUAAUGUGAAUUGCAGAAUUCAGUGAAUCAUCGAAUCUUUGAACGCACAUUGCGCCCGCCAGUAUUCUGGCGGGCAUGCCUGUUCGAGCGUCAUUUCAACCAUCAGGCCCCCGGGCCCGUGUUGGGGCACUGCGCGCCAGCCGCGCAGGCCCUCAAAACCAGUGGCGGGCUCGCUGUCGCACCGAGCGUAGUAACAUAUCUCGCUUCGGACGCGCGGCGGGCGCUUGCCGUAAAACACCCCCCUUCUCAAGGUUGACCUCGGAUCAGGUAGGAAUACCCGCUGAACUUAAGCAUAUCAAUAAGCGGAGGA
rnacentral:misc_RNA from 1 species